AGCGAACGCUGGCGGCAGGCCUAAUACAUGCAAGUCGAGCGCCCCUUCGGGGGAGCGGCGGACGGGUGAGUAACGCGUGGGAACGUGCCCUUUGGUACGGAACAACUGAGGGAAACUUCAGCUAAUACCGUAUGUGCCCUUCGGGGGAAAGAUUUAUCGCCAUUGGAGCGGCCCGCGUUGGAUUAGGUAGUUGGUGAGGUAAAGGCUCACCAAGCCUACGAUCCAUAGCUGGUCUGAGAGGANGAUCAGCCACACUGGGACUGAGACACGGCCCAGACUCC
rnacentral:rRNA from 1 species